ACAGCCCAAAACGCUGCUCGCUCCCCGGUCAUCUCUGUUGUUUCUCUUCCAAUCCAAUCUGCCAUCGGCAGCAAAACCCCCAAAAAUGCAAGAAAGAACCCACGAAGGCCAAGCUGAAUCUUCUGCAAACCAAGCUGAAUUUUCAGCUUUGGAGCCAUUGUUAUUAGCACAACACAAGAGAAAGGAAUUCCAGUCCCAACCCGAACUAAUUAAUGGUAUUUUUCCUGAUGAAAUUAUGGCUGAUAUACUCACAAGGCUUCCAGUCAAAUCCCUGAUGAGGUUCAGCUGUGUUUCAAAAUCUUGGCAUUCCUUGAUGUCCGACCCCAAUUUCAUCAAAUCCCAUAUCAAGAAAUGUGCUGAAAACAAGGAAAAUGAGCAUCAUAGGCUCAUUUUGGUUACGGUUACGGAUGAUGAGGAGCAAAAGAGGAAAGGGCUCAGACUCAAGAAGUUUGAGUGUUCCUUUCAAACUGCGUUUUCCUGGGCAUCAUCCAAGAAAAAUGAGGAUCAGGUAACCUACGAUUUUAUUAUCAGUCCCGCUAUUGUCUCCGACGACAUGUGUAGAUAUAAGAUUCUGGGUUCUUGUUAUGGGUUGGUUUUAAUCACGAUUGCUGCAGAAAAUAUGUUUUUGUGGAAUCCAGCUACAAGAAAAUCUAGAAAAUUGCCUCAUUGUGGUUGGAAAGAGGAGCAUAAAGCUAUCAAUUUUCAGGACUUGUCAUUUGCGAUUGGUUAUGAUGAGUCUAAUGGUGAUUACAUGAUACUUGGACUUUCCUGUGUUGUCAAUGAUAGGCUAGAAUAUGAGACUGUGGCCAAGGUUUAUAGUGGGAAGACGGAUUCUUGGAAGAAGAUUGAGCAUUUCAAGUAUAGUUUGAUUGAUGACAUCUGUUCUGGAAGUUACUUUUUGAAUGGGAAGUUCCACUUCAUUGCAUAUGAGAUUUUAAGUCGUGGUACUGAUGGUACAAAUUUUGAGCGAAUAAUUGUUAGUCUUGAUUUGGCAGAUGACAUUUAUGGACAGAUAGAAACGCCUGAAGAUGAGAAUUUCGGUCAUGAGUGGAACUUAGGAACGCUAGGAGGAUGCCUUUCUUUGUUGCAUUGUUCCAUAGGGAAUCAGGAUGAGGUGGAACUGUGGGUCAUGAAGGAGUAUGGAGUAAGAGGAUCUUGGACUAAAAUGGUUGUGAUUUCUGGUUGUCAGGGACCUGGUUGUCGUUUAUUCAGAAAGCCUUUGAUUUUAUCAAAGGAUGGUCAACUUCUGUUCGUGAAUUGGUCAUAUCUGAAGUUAGGAGUUUAUGAUCCAAAUCAGAAUUCACACCAUUAUCCUCAGUUUAGUAACUCAGAAGGUCUUUACGGAGCAGAUGUGUAUGUUGAAAGCUUAAUUUCUCCCUGAUGCCGUUGAUGGAGUUCAAAGGGACUGUAAGGGGGAAAAAAAGGUAGAGUAGACUUUGGACUCAUUUCAACAGUUGAAUUUGGGGUUGGUCAACUAGUCAUCAGUUUUAUUCUCUUGCUGCUCAAGAAAUCCUGUCAAUUUCAAUUUAUCCUGUUCAAAUGAGACAACUUCUGAGAACUUGACACCAGACCAUUAUCUUGUUUCAGACAUGUUCGGGACUAAUUCUUUGGUCAUAGAUUAUGCACAUCAGUAACAUCUGUGGUUGCUAUAUCCCCAGUCAGAGCAAAAGAACCCUCUCCUGCUGCCAUUGAUGUUGAAUGUCCAAUAUAUCCAUGUUUAUUUAGAGCAUGUUUCACUGCAUGGACUACAGAGUCAGAACGGUCAUGAAGUUCAACUGCUAGUUAUAGUAAAGAACAUUUUGCGAACUUCAGGUAGUCAUCUAGUUUGAACUAACUGUUUACCAUUUUUGUAUCUUUUCGGAUUUAUAAGAGAACAUCUUUUGGACAUUUCACAUCUACAAUUGACUUCAUCCUCAGCAAUGUAGACUUUUCUGAUAUGUAAGGCUGGAAGAGAAGUUAAUAUGUCAUGUUAAAAUGAUCAAAAGUUAGAAAAUAUUAGCAGCAUUUCUGUUCAAGCUUGUAUGAAGUAGAGUUGAAUCAAUAUGCUUUAGACUUUUGAGAAAUCCCCUUGAACAAGUGGUGUUGGACAUAUUGUAUAAAUAUCUUUGAUAUAUACAGAUACUCAGCUCCGGCUAUCAUGCACUAACAGGAAUAAAUUACUACACAAUGUAUGCACUUAGAUUCUUGAGAACCAUUUUGAAGAAACAGCCAGGGAAGUUUGAUGAGAUGCAUAUGAUGAAAUGAAGUAUCUUCUUGGAGCUUCAGUCAACGAAGCAGGAAUAUUGAUUUUCUCUCUCUCUGGCUUCUGCGUGCGAAAUGGUAGAAGACUCAACCAAAGGUUCAAAGAACUGGAGGUUGCGCUUUUUCCUCCCUACAAGAUUUUUGAGAAACUUUAAUUUUUUACUCCCUUAUUGGCAUUAUAUCGACCUCAGUACUUGAAAUCAGAAAUCAUGUAUUGGUCUCAUUCCAGUAUACA